rnacentral:rRNA from 1 species
UACGGAGGGUGCGAGCGUUAUCCGGAUUUAUUGGGUUUAAAGGGUCCGUAGGCGGACUCGUAAGUCAGUGGUGAAAUCUCACAGCUUAACUGUGAAACUGCCGUUGAUACUGCGGGUCUUGAGUAAGGUAGAAGUGGCUGGAAUAAGUAGUGUAGCGGUGAAAUGCAUAGAUAUUACUUAGAACACCAAUUGCGAAGGCAGGUCACUAUGUCUUAACUGACGCUGAUGGACGAAAGCGUGGGGAGCGAACAGG